rnacentral:rRNA from 1 species
UACGUAGGGGGCAAGCGUUGUCCGGAAUCAUUGGGCGUAAAGAGCGCGUAGGCGGCCCUGUAAGUCCGCUGUGAAAGUCAAGGGCUCAACCCUUGAAUGCCGGUGGAUACUGCAGGGCUAGAGUCCGGAAGAGGCGAGUGGAAUUCCUGGUGUAGCAGUGAAAUGCGCAGAUAUCAGGAGGAACACCGAUGGCGAAGGCAGCUCGCUGGGACGGUACUGACGCUGAGGCGCGAAAGCGUGGGGAGCAAACAGG